GAUGAACGCUGGCGGCGUGCCUAAUACAUGCAAGUCGAGCGAACAGACGAGGAGCUUGCUCCUCUGACGUUAGCGGCGGACGGGUGAGUAACACGUGGAUAACCUACCUAUAAGACUGGCAUAACUUCGGGAAACCGGAGCUAAUACCGGAUAAUAUAUUGAACCGCAUGGUUCAAUAGUGAAAGACGGUUUUGCUGUCACUUAUAGAUGGAUCCGCGCCGCAUUAGCUAGUUGGUAAGGUAACGGCUUACCAAGGCAACGAUGCGUAGCCGACCUGAGAGGGUGAUCGGCCACACUGGAACUGAGACACGGUCCAGACUCCUACGGGAGGCAGCAGUAGGGAAUCUUCCGCAAUGGGCGAAAGCCUGACGGAGCAACGCCGCGUGAGUGAUGAAGGUCUUCGGAUCGUAAAACUCUGUUUUAGGGAAGAACAAAUGUGUAAGUAACUAUGCACGUCUUGACGGUACCUAAUCAGAAAGCCACGGCUAACUACGUG
rnacentral:rRNA from 1 species